UACGUAGGGUGCGAGCGUUAAUCGGAAUUACUGGGCGUAAAGCGUGCGCAGGCGGUGAUGUAAGACAGUUGUGAAAUCCCCGGGCUCAACCUGGGAACUGCAUCUGUGACUGCAUCGCUGGAGUGCGGCAGAGGGGGAUGGAAUUCCGCGUGUAGCAGUGAAAUGCGUAGAUAUGUGGAGGAACACCGAUGGCGAAGGCAAUCCCCUGGGCCUGCACUGACGCUCAUGCACGAAAGCGUGGGGAGCAAACAGG
rnacentral:rRNA from 1 species